rnacentral:lncRNA from 1 species
GAGCAGGGACCGCGUCCUGACCUACCCUGCGCUCCCGACAGCGUGCUCAGGGCAUGUUCCUGGGGGAAAAGACACCGGAGGCUGUUCGGGGUGCGCAGCCCGGGGUCUGCCUGGUGCCUGCAGCAGAGGCAGAGGCAGUGCCAGAGGCAGCAGCAGCGGCAGAAGCAGCAGCAGAGGCAGCAGUGGCUGCAGCCUCCUGGCCCGCAGCAGCAGGCAGCGACGUCUGCCAGAGCCCAAAGCCAGGAGCCAUGGGCUGCUGCUAGGUGCGGUGCUGCGCUGUCCCUGGUGUGGGAGGCUUCUGCCUUGUCAAACCUGGCAGGGACUGACUCAGCGGUGCCAAACAAUGCGCUGCGCUCAGCUGCACCCUGCCCAGGAUCAGCGCGAAGAUGCGCCCGCUCGGCCCCGGCCCCGUUGGCGGCGAGGGGCGUAGCCCUGCAGGCACCUCCAGCCCCGUUCCCCGCCAAGCUGCUGGGACACGUCCGGGGCUGGCGAGGAGCCCGUGCUCUUCGGCGAGGGCUCAGACACGGGGAGCCAGGCAGGGCUCCCUGGUUCGUUCCUAGCAGGCUCGCGUCCCGUCACCGAACGUUUUCACCGUGGAAGGAGAUGCCUCGGAAGGUCCCGGAGGAGCAGAGAAUGGGCGGCCCCGGUGAGGCCCCCGCAGGUGGAUGGAAAUCGGGCACGAAGCUCGCCCUGCUCGCCGUCCUCCCACACCUCCACGGUGAGCGGCUGGAGGAGUCUCCUCUCCCCAGCCCAGGGGUGCCGCAGACGUGGCAGGAGCAAGGUGACCCAGCGGAGGGACGCAGGUCCCCUCCCGACCCACCCCCAAAUCACCAAGCUGGAGCCGGGCUUGGGCUGAAAUCAGAAAGCUCCGGCCCGCAACGAGCCACCCGUUGCCAUUGCUCGGAAAACACACGGGGCUCCCCGGCACGUUAUCAGGGUGACAUUCCUCCGGGGCUCCCGGUGCCAGCCCUUCGCUUUGAGGAACCGCCGGAGCCAGGCUGCUUUGCCUAUUUUUUUGGCUGCCGGGAAGAGAGCAGGAGACUGCGAUCGCCCUCCUCGGGAUUAGGUCGCUAA